AUCUACAGCCAUACCACCCUGAACGCGCCCCAUCUGGUCUGAUCUCAGAAGCUAAGCAGGGUCGGGCCUGGUUAAUACUGGAUGGGAGAAAUACAAACAGAACUCCAAUUAAUUUGUUUAUU
ensembl:rRNA 5S_rRNA 5S ribosomal RNA